AGAGUUUGAUCAUGGCUCAGAACGAACGCUGGCGGCAGGCCUAACACAUGCAAGUCGAGCGCCCCCGCAAGGGGGAGCGGCGGACGGGUGAGUAACGCGUGGGAAUUUUCCUCAAGGUACGGAACAACUCAGGGAAACUUGGGCUAAUACCGUAUGAUGUCUAGCGACCAAAGAUUUAUCGCCUUGGGAUAAGCCCGCGUCAGAUUAGGUAGUUGGUGGGGUAACGGCCUACCAAGCCUGCGAUCUGUAGCUGGUCUGAGAGGACGAUCAGCCACACUGGGACUGAGACACGGCCCAGACUCCUACGGGAGGCAGCAGUGGGGAAUCUUGCGCAAUGGGCGAAAGCCUGACGCAGCCAUGCCGCGUGAAUGAUGAAGGUCUUAGGAUUGUAAAGUUCUUUCGCCCGUGACGAUGAUGACGGUAACGGAGAAGAGCCC
rnacentral:rRNA from 1 species